CCGAACCCCAUCCCAGUCUCCAAGACCAUCCUCUGCAAGAGCAAAACACAUUCCAUUGUCUAAAAGGCAAAUGUCCAAGAAGCCUUUCUUGCCGGCCAGGCAGGAACAUUCAGGGCAGCACUUGUCCCUGCCCUCGUCCCUCAUGUCACCAAAAACCCACCCAUGUCCACAGUGAGUAGAGUGUCAGCUACACAGCCAAUGCCUUCUUCCAAAGAAUUCCAGAGGCCCUUAGAGGCCAAAUCCUUCUGUAAUGAUUGCACUCCAGAAUGACUGCCAUUCCUUUUGAAAUGCCUUGUUAAACAACCACCCCUCUUUCCAGUAGAACUUCCUAAAACCUUAGGCUUCACCUAUAGCAACAUGGCUUCAAGUAAGGCUCAAAGAAGCUGAAACCAGACCAGCCGGAUGUUUCCUAUCAGUGUUGCAAUUAGGGUGUGGUGUGUGUUGAAAUUAAUCAGCUAAUCUCAACGUAAGCCAGAGGCUGUGACCACUAGCCCUUCGCCAGAGAUCUGAGUGACCCUCAUCAAACCCCACAGUCCCAGAUUCCUCAAUGAUGACAAACCAGGCCCGUUUGGGACUCCAGCCUGGAGCAGCCCUCCCUCCUGGGGACUAGGACAUGGGUUGUUGACACAUUAUCUUACCAAGGAUCAUAUUUUUGUCCAACAGACUUAGACACCCACCUCCCUCCUCCUGGCAGGGGCAACAAUGACAAGCUGUGAGAUGCGGAAACUGAAACAACACACAGCUCCUUCUCAGCUUAAAAUCCUUGCCUGGCUCCCCAGAGCCUCCAGAUGAAAUACAGAGGCUCAGGCCUGAGCCACAGGGCCCCUCAACACCUGCCUGCUGCUCCCCAAUACCCCACUCCCCACCUCUCUCCAACACACACCUAAUGUUCCAGCUACAUGGAGUGGCACACAGCCCCUGAAGCCCAGAAGUCUUCCCCACGCUAGGUCCUCUUCCUGGAAUUCCCUUCCCCGCCUAAGAAGGAAGGAUGUGCUCCCUCUGCAAGACUCUAAUCAAAUGUGUGUAUUCAUCUCAGUACUGCCAAGGCCUGCCAUAGAGAUGUACUUGGGAUUUAAUAAGGUGGUUAACUAUGUUACUAGCUGUGUGACCUCGACCAAGUUAUUUAACCUCUCUGUGCUCUACUUUCCUCAUCUGAAAAAGGGGGAUGAUGGUAACAUACCUUAGAGGGUUGUUUGUGAGUAUUAAAUGAGGUAACAUAUGUAAACAGCUUAGGACCCUGCCUGCCAUAUAGUAUGUGCUUAAUAAAUGUGACCUCACAGUAAUCGUUUCUUUGGUGCCGGUGAGUGAUUUUUGAAGAUCUCUUCUACGUAAUAGACAAUGAACUAUGUUUAAGGUAUGCUCAAAGGCUCCAUUUGCAGUCUGUCUCAG
rnacentral:lncRNA from 10 species